rnacentral:rRNA from 1 species
UACGUAGGGCGCAAGCGUUGUCCGGAAUUAUUGGGCGUAAAGAGCUCGUAGGCGGUUUGUCGCGUCUGUCGUGAAAGCCCACGGCUUAACCGUGGGUCUGCGGUGGAUACGGGCAGACUAGAGGCAGGUAGGGGAGAAUGGAAUUCCCGGUGUAGCGGUGAAAUGCGUAGAUAUCAGGAGGAACACCGGUGGCGAAGGCGGGUCUCUGGGCCAUUACUGACGCUGAGGAGCGAAAGCGUGGGGAGCGAACAGG